CCCAACAGCUGGUCCUUUUUGGAUUAAUAGUAUGUGAAAUCAACAGCUUAUUUAAUAAAUAACCCAAAGAAAAGGAGAUUGUGAUUUUUUUUUUUUAAUUUUUUUUUCUUCAGUUACAGAAGUAGUAACCAACUUUCGCGUCCUGCUGUCUUAUGUGUAUGGGUUUUCCUGGACAGUUCUAGUGGAAAGAUGUUCAUCAUCCUGAAGAGUAUGGAAAACAUAUCUUGCAGCCAGCCAUUACGAACCGGCAUCCAUCUUACUACAAUAUAUACCAAUCAAUAAGGGCCUCCAGAAUGACAUGAGAUACAGUCUAAUCAAAAACACGUUUGGGAUCAUGCUGAGUGUCGUUGACUGAAAAUAUUGGAGCACAGCACCACUGUGGGUGUGUUACAUAAAUUGCCACAAUGGAGUGUUUUUCAGAUUCUUCAGCUGAGAGGCCAUCUGUCAUUGAAAGUGGCACAUUCACCUGCUCAUCACUUCUGCAGCAGUCUGUGUGCUAGACAGGGUACAUCCAGAUGAAGUUAACAACAGGAGCAGCUCUUCAUACAGCUGAGUUUGGAAAGACUUAGUAAUCAAGUCACUCCUUCAGAUGGGAGCAAACACCACAAAUAGAUCGCUCUUUCUAUCCAAGAGAACACCAAGUGCUUUCCGCUUUGCUUCAGAAAAGAGCAAACUAGUUCCCUGAGGGAUAUUUUUCUACUCAGUAGAAUCCAGCAUCGCCUCCGUGGGCACUUGUCUACCAUUCCUGACCUGCAGCACAUAGGGCCUUCACGACUGAAAAAUGAAGAUGACUGUAAGAGCUCUGAUGAACCUGUUUGGACAACAGACAGCAACAAAUACCUGUCUCGGUGGAGGAGUUUAAGAGCACUGCAGAGAUCCUCAGACAGUACAGAAUAUCUUGGCUCACACAGGCCACUCUCUUUAUCUCAAAACAAUACAGCCAAGCUCCUCUGUACCUACAACUGA
rnacentral:lncRNA from 1 species